CAUGACAACAUACAUCCCUCAUGAUCCAUCUGAUUUUUUUUUUUGGCUUUGAUACCAAAGGAAUGAGAUGCAAUUAUCUUGCACAUGAGAUAAAUCCAAGGCUUAAAUGAGGCAUGAGAAUAUGUAUUUGGUAUAAAUUGCAUGCGUGACGAUGCCAGAACUGCAAGCUCUGAUACGUGUAUGGGAGCAAAGAACUCCACCACUCUAUCCUACCGGUGAUUACUUUGUAGCAAAGACUAUUUGUCAAUAAAUUACUUUUUGUAUGAUUUAGUUAUGUGUUAAUCAUAAAUAGCUUUACUAUGAUUUAUUUCAUUGAUUAUUGAUUACAUGUGUUCUGCUCAAUAUAUGUUAAGGUCAAAAUAGGUUCGGGUCAGUCAAAACAGGUUUUGCUCAAAAUAGGUUCAUGUCAAUAUGUGUUCUGCUCAAUAUGCAUUAAGGUCAAAACUGGUUAAAAAUGCUUUAUCUAAGAAAAUAUAUAUCAAAUAACCAAAGUUAUAAAAAAGUAAUUAAAAAAAAUGAAAUCUAUCCGGGUUCUAAAAAUUGCUAUAAAAUCAUU
rnacentral:lncRNA from 1 species